ACCCCACCCGUUGCACUAUUGUCGUACCUACUCCUAUCACAAGGUUUACGGUUAGUUUGAGGGGAAAGGGGAAUAUUAGUCAUUUAACAUAGCUAAUAUUCUUUUUU